AGCACCGUUGGACAGGAUCGGUCCCGAGGGUUGGGGAGCCCGUUGAAAGAUCGCAUCUCUGAGAUGGCGCUGGGUCAUAGGGAGCCUAGAACCGUCGUUCCGGCGAAGGAG
ncrna:unclassified sequences Actinomyces-1 RNA